UGGCUUCCCUUCUCUGACAGCCGCCUUGAAGUGGGGGCUGGAUGAAAGGGGUGUGGGAGCGGAGCGGCAUCUUGCAGGCGUGGAUCGUUUUUCCUUGCUGGGAGUUCUUCUGCCUUUUGGACGUCUUUGUCCUAGCUGCUGGUAGGGAAUGAAGGUGAGAGGCAAAGCCAGCCUUUGUUGGAAGUAACAGUUACAGUGUGUGCUGCUCAGCCCGAUAGUGCUGCUGCUGGGCUCCAAGAUAGCUCAUGCUCUUUCAGAUCUAUGCUAGUGGGAUGCCAUUCUUUAGCAAAACUUUUGGCAGCAGAACAUGUGUGACCAGAACUGCAACAGUCAUAAGGGAAUUGAAACCAAGAAGUUAAACACAACUAAAACUUAGUUGUUAAUGGAGUUAAUUAAAGUUAACAGAUCUCUCUUUUUGUUUCUGUGAAAUAACAGCGUUUUUUGAAUGUGUAAUGUUACUUGACAGUAGCAUGCCUACCUUAGACAGUAAUGCCAACUACUCUGCAAUCAGGGAUCUCUUUAUAUGACUUAAACCAUAGGAGCUGUGCAUUUAAAGCUUGCACAUCUCUGAAGAAUGGAGUAGGUUUGGUAAAAGCCAGCUACAGUGUCAAACUGGUUGUGAGGCAGCCAACUGUCAUUCUGUUUUAUCAAUAUAAAUCAGAUAAAUUAAUUCACUUUAUACCAGCCACUUUAUAAAAUAGAUCUGAAAUACUUGCAUGGGUGUGAGAGACUUUGCACUGGUAAGCUCUGUUAGGUACUUGCUGUUUUUGUAGCUAACAGGAGUUGAUCACUUUAGAAAGACGUUUAAUCUCCUUUGCAUUAAAAAUCAUACAAGCAAGCUGGUUUAAGUUCUGCAACAGAAAGUGCAAGGCCAGAGGCAUGACAUUUAAGGAAAUAUUUUUCUGUUUCACGUUAUAAAAUGGGUUGAAGUGGCAUUUUUUAAAAACUAUCAUCCUUUUAAACAACUUUGUCCUAGUUAACUCUCAGCAUCUACUGUACAUAAUAUGAGAAGUUAGGACAGUAUUGACACGCCUUUCACUUCAGUAGUCAUACCCAUCAGUAUUAAGAUCUAUUCAGUGCUGUAUUCAGUAUAUUCAUAAAACCCCUUGAAUUACUAUGGUAUUUCUUAGCAUGCCAAAACAAAAUCCUUUAUAGACUCCAGGAAGAUACAUAGCAAUAUGUCUAGCAAGCUGUAUCUUGUGGGUGUUUUUUGUUUUGUUUUUAGUCAGGGUUGCUGGAAGAAAUAAGUGUCUUUACUGACAUAGUAGUUCUGUAGAUGGUUGUUUCACACAAUCAGUCUUUUUAUUUUAUUGUUUUGUUCAUUUGAACUUAGUUUAUUGUAGACCAGAUUUUUUGAGAGGUCUCAUGGAUGGCCUUGGAGCUGAUAGUUCUGCUGCUGGUGAUUUGCUUCCAUGGUUUUUUGAAAUGUGCCUUGAAACAAACUUGUUUCUUGGAGGUAUUUUUGGCUAAGUGCUAUGUGGCCUUUAAGUUUGUUCACACAGUUGUUUUGUCUGUAGAGUACUGGCUAUAUGCAGUCUUUACUUUUUCUUCUUUCAGUAAUCUACACAAAUAAUUUUGAAUUUUGCACUUCCAUUUUUCUCUGUAGGAAAAAAAUGCUGCCAUUUAAGAUUUCUGUAAGUCUCUGUUAGUUGAUUUAUAUUUGGUUUUGUGUUUUUUAUUUCCCUUCCAGUUUGUCUUUUGCUUAAUGACCUUUUUCACUCAUUCAGCUAGUAGAAGGAAAAUGCUUUUUAGAAUAGCUUUGCUGUUUAUUUUUCUAACCUGUCUUCUGUGUCUUUUUUUUUACCCUUUUAUUGUUUUGUGCUUGUGUCUUUCUUCAGUUCUCAUUUAUUUCUACUUCUGUGCAUCAAGUUAAUUAUAUUCUAGAGUAUGUAGAACUAGAAACUGCCUAUAAUCCUUCAUUUAGCUUUGAAUGUUUUCUGUUUCCCAUGUCCCCUUUGCCCCUCUGUUAUUUCACAAUUCAUUUCCUAUUGUCUUUGUAUUGUGAGCAAUUGAAGUGGCCUCACGCUUCUUCUAGUGGUAUUCCUAUGACUCAGUCAUCUGAGAAUUCCUUCUCAUUCUCCACAUAAAUACCAUCUAAGUUAUUUCUGUAUCCUAGUACAGGGUCUAUUAAGAAAUUGAAGACUUCAGUGCUGAUAGAACUCAGAGAGCACCCUCAGACUCCCAGCUUUUCCUCACUAUUUCAGAGGGUUUUUUUGCCAUUCCCAGUUAGGUGUUCUGUUGUUCCCCCGCCUCUCCCCCUUUACCUACCCUUCCCCGCCUCAUUCAGUAUUUUAGUUCCAUUUUUAGAACCCAGAGGAGUACUGUAUAAACAAUAUUUGUUCAAUAAUACUGUAAUACCCAACUUUCUGAUGUGUUUUAUAGAAAUGCUUUGUGAUCUGUGCUUGUAAGGAAUAGCAAGGUGGUAUUGAAGUGCCUCAACCAAACACAUUUAAACUAUGAUAAAAGGAAGCAAGGGGAAGAAAAAAAGAGUUUGAUUAGUUAAGGCCUUUUGUAUGUUAAGGGCACAUAGGUACUAUUACAAAAAUGAAAUGCCUAUGCUAUGAAAGUGGGCGUGAAUUUUAG